rnacentral:rRNA from 1 species
UACGUAGGAGACGAGCGUUGUCCGGAUUUAUUGGGUUUAAAGGGUGCGUAGGUGGUCUAUUAAGUCAGUGCUGAAAUAUCCCCGGCUUAACCGGGAGGGUGGCAUUGAUACUGAUGGACUUGAGUAGAGUCGAGGUAGGCGGAAUUGACGGUGUAGCGGUGAAAUGCUUAGAUAUCGUCAAGAACACCUAUAGCGAAGGCAGCUUACUAGGCUCUAACUGACACUGAGGCACGAAAGUGUGGGGAUCAAACAGG